AGUAGAUGAUAGCAUGUCACACAGUGCGACCAAAAAAAAGAUCUCCACACAUGCAAAUAGGUAUUUCUUACUCGAUACAAAACGUGGAAUUAAUAUCUUUCUGAAUUGUAUCUGUUUUUUGGAGAACCACAUGCAACUGGACACGGACAUUCAUAAGAUACGCUUUCCUCCGAAUCGAGAACGAAGAAAGUAUCUCCAAGAACAGGUUGCUGUACAGGCCACUCUUCUUUCAGCAAGUUGUUAACCAGAGCCCACACCUCCCCCCUCUCAGCUCUGGGAAGGUCUGUUGUGAAUGUCAGCUUGAAUCUUAUCAGCGGAGCUGUCCAUCACCCACAAGAGAUGGCACAAAGCAGGCAACACCACUGAGCUCAAGAGUUCAGUCAAGUACAUGUACAUGCAGUGGAAGAUAAUUAAAAAAAAACAAUUCAGUCAAUUGUUUCUCCAGUUCGGCUGUUGUUGGCAUGGUGAUGUUGGUCUUCUGUUGGGCCAGAGCAUCUCUGUGGUUGUUGGUUUCUAUGCACACGGUUGACCAUUUCCAGAGUGGAAUUCCAUAUUGUUGUGAUGUCUUGUGUGAGUGUGUCACGUUCGUCUAAUGACGGGUCAGUCCAAGGCGCAGCGUGAUAUACGUACAUGUUUAUUUACACUGAAUAAAUACACAACAAAACAACAAACGACCAAACCGUGAAGUCCUAAGGUUGUACAUACAACGAACCUUACCCAGAACAAGAUCCCACAACUCAAUAGUGCCAAUAGGCUGCCUAAG